GGGAUGCAGCAAGUUACGGCGCGGAGGAGGAGGACCGGGAAGCGCCCGGGGCUCCGGCGGAGGGGGUCCCGGCCGACCCCGCCCCCCCACUCGACCUCAGCUGCUGCGCACGCCCUCCGGGGCGGAGGUGUGACGUCGGGAGGUCGCCCCUUUCCUUCAUCUGACCGCAAAUUAUAAAGGGAGAGAAAUUACCCCGAGCGGGAUCCCUGAAAUUUGGAGAUCUCUUGUGCCCAUUCUCGCGGAGAGGAGCGAGUUUCCUCUGGGAUGGGAGGUAGGCACCGAGAACUCUCUCCAAGCACGAGCAAGUAUGGAUGGAUCCUCAGCAUCCUCCUUUCAUUGCAUCUGGAGGAGAGAAGGAACAUUUGCUGUUGGACGUUUCUUUUCCCUGACUUGACUUUGGGAAAGAUAUUUGGCAGCUUUGAACUUAGCGCCAUCGGUAGUUUGCUCGCCUGCGGCAGCUUUAGAACCUGAAAUCCAGAUAUACUGUGGCACUCCUCCCACCUGCCAGUCGGAUAACCUGAUCUGAAGAUCCUGAGAUGAGCUCGGUUUGGCUUUAGAGCAUCCAAGUUGACGUAAACUCUGUGCAGUCUUUGGAUGCUCCCUUCUGUUCACUGGGGUGCAUGAAUGUCAUUUAAUCUUAGCCAUGUCAGGCAGCCUGGAGCCGUGCAGGAGCCUGGGCUUCAGGUCAGACAGAUGGUCUGUGGAAUCCAGGAUUUACCACACUUACUACGGACUUUGGGAAAGUCACUUCACCUCUGUGAGCCUCGGUCUCCUCAUUCUAACCUGGGAGUCAUAAUGUUCACAGCAGCUUUAUUUACAAUAGCUGAAGAUUGAAAAUUACCAUAUUUCAUCAACAAGAAAAUGCAUAGGGACUUCCCUGGUGGUGCAGUGGUUAAGAAUCUGCCUGCCAAUGCAGGGGACACAGGUUCGAGCCCUGGUCUGGGAAGAUCCCACAUGCUGCAGAGCAACUAAGCCCGUGCGCCGCAACUACUGAGCCUGUGCUCUAGAGCCCGAGAGCUGCAACUACUGAGGCUGCGUGCCACAACUACUGAAGCCUGCGCACCUAGAACCCAUGCCCUGCAACAAGAAGCCUGCGCACCACAACUAAGAGUAGCCGUCACUCGCCACAGCUAGAGAAAGCCCACAUGCAGCAAUGAAGACUCAGUGCAGCCAAAAAUAAAUAAAUUAAUUAAAAAAAAUAAAGGAUAUGGGUUUAAAAAAAGAAAAGAGGGCUUCCCUGGUGGUGCAGUGGUUGAGAGUCCGCCUGCCGAUGCAGGGGACACGGGUUCGUGCCCCGGUCCGGGAAGAUCCCACAUGCCGCGGAGCGGCUGGGCCCAUGAGCCAUGGCCUGUGGUACAUCCAUACAGCAUAAUACCACUCUGCUGAGUAGUAUACAAAUUCUGUGAAGCAUACUACCCAUCCAUGCACCAACAUGGAUAAACCUCAAAAACUUUACGCUGAGCUAAAGAAACCAAACACAGCAAACAGUACAUGCUGUCGAAUUCCACUCAUAUAAAGUUCUAGAACAGACCAAAGUAACGUGGUGGAAAUCAGAACAGUGGUUGCCCCUGAGGGUGGAAGGUAUUGACUAGGAAGGGGCAUGAGGGAACUUUCUGAGAUGUUGCAAAUAUUCUGCUAGGCUCAAAUCUUAAUCCUGCCACCGAUCUGGCGGGUGAUCUUGGGCAAGUUUUUGUCUUCUAAGCCUUAGUUUUCUAACAUUGCUAGAUCGUUGUGGAGAUUAGAGAUAUAAAAAUAGGCCUGAUUCAUAGCUUGCCACAUUCACAAAUAUUUGUUGAAUGUCAAAUGAAUGAUAAAAUA